GAAGGUUCUGAUUCAGAUGGUUCUGUGGGUAGCGCUCCAGGUGAAAGCCCUACUUAUGAAGGUUCUUAUUCAGAUGGUUCUGUGGGUAGCGCUCCAGGUGAAAGACAAGAAACUACUAAGGGGAAGGGCGACUACAUGGGCAUGCAUUAGCGGCAGAAGAUUUCGUGAAUUAUUGAAUAAAACC